rnacentral:rRNA from 1 species
AUGAGCUCUUCCUCUGCCGCCGCACCUCCUGCCAUGCGCUCCGGCGUGUGGGACGGCUCCGAGGUGGACGACGACCACAUUGAGUUCCUUCGUAAGACGCGUCGCCUCCCCGGCGAGAACCUAGUGCGGGCCCGCGCCGCGCCGGCGAGGGAGAUAUCACCGGCGCCGGAGGAGGGCGAGCGGGUCAUAUUCCGCUCGCACCUCAUGCGCGGCCUAGGGCUGCCGGCGAGCGGUUUCUUCCGCUCCUUCUUGGAGUUCCAUGGGCUCCAGCCGCACCACCUCACUCCGAACAUGGUGGUGCUGCUAGCUGCCUUUGCCACCUUGUGCGAAGGCUUCCUCGGCGUUCUCCCCACCAUCGAGCUAUGGGGGGAGUUCUUUCAGUCCAAGCUCGGCACGCACGUCACCGGUAUGCCGGCCCAGUGUGGUGCCUUCAUCACGAUGUGGAGAUCGGUGGCCGACAACCCAUUUCCCACCAUUCCGCUGAUUAAGUCGGUGAAGAUGUGGCAGCGGUCUUACUUUUAUGUGAAGAACGUCGCCCUAGACGGCGACUGGGUCAAUCUGCCGCCUUACAAAGUCGGCGCACUGGCUAGGAGGCUCCCCAGCUGGUUCCACCGAGUCAAUACGCUGACUCCUGCUGGUUCUGCCGCCGUCACUCGACUCCGAGUACUGAUGCAGUCAGAGGGUCUGACCAGGGCCGACCUGCUGGCCACCUUCGUGGCGCGCCGAGUCCUCCCACUCCAAGGCCGACCUCAUCUGAUCUGUCAGAUGAGCGGCCACCGAGACCCGAGUCGGAUGUGCUCCAAGGACAUGCCCCACGCGGAGGUGGCGGACACGGUGAAUUAUAUCGCGAACUGCAAUCUCGCGGCGGAUUGGCAGUUCGUCAAGGAGCCGUACUCACGCGCCAUCCCCCCGCCUGCCAACCCCCUCAUCCAGCCUUCAGCCGGCACCACGGGCCCGGCCCGUGAGUUCGUCUCCGACCGGGCGGAGAGCGACGUCGACGACCCUGACUUUGGGGCGGCGGCAAUGGAGGCCGAUGCCGAAGGAGGAGGAGGUGGAGGAGGCUUCAGGCCCUCGGCCACUUUUGCCGACUGGCCUGAUGACGAUGCUGAGGGGGAAGUUGCCCCACGCCACCAACCAAAGGUCGGCCAGCCGGGCGCGAGUUCCUCCACCGGCUUGGAUGGUCAAGGCGGCACGAAGAGGCGCCGGGCCGGGCCGAGCUUGCUUGGCGGCCGGUCGAAGAAGUUCAAGGGGGCGGCCGCCGCGACCAAGCGGGAAGAGGCGGUCAUGAAAGCCAACCGCUUCUGUAAGCAAGUGAAUAAGCCGCCACUGGUCUCUGCGGCUCCUCUUACAUUUGAGAGGGUCGCCGGCGCCUCCGUCAUGGGGUCGGCAGACACGCCCGCCACUACUCGGUGUAUUGACCCCGCCGCCGACCACCGGGAGGCGACGGGGCGGAACACGCGAGAGAAGCGCGACGAGGACGAAACCGCCCGCCUGGAGAAGGCGAAGGCCUAG